rnacentral:rRNA from 1 species
GACGAACGCUGGCGGCGUGCUUAACACAUGCAAGUCGAACGGAAAGGCCCUGCUUUUGUGGGGUGCUCGGUUGGCGAACGGGUGAGUAACACGUGAGUAACCUGCCCUUGACUUUGGGAUAACUUCAGGAAACUGGGGCUAAUACCGGAUAGGAGCUCCGGCUGCAUGGUGGGGGUGGGGAAGUUACGGUGGGUGGGGAUGGACUCGCGGCUUAUCAGCUUGUGGGUGGGGUAGUGGCAUACCAAGGCUUUGCCGGGAAGCCGGGCUGAGAGGGGGACCGGACAAACUGGGACGGAGAUGCGACACAGACUACUCCGGGACGGAGGGGUGGGGUAUGGUGUACUAGGCGCGGAAGGCUACUGUAGUCACGCCGCGUGGGGGAAGAGAGCCUUGGGGUUGUGAUGCGCAUUCGUCUGUGACGAAGCGUGAGUGACGGUAAUGGGUAAAGAAGCACCGGCUAACUACGUG